rnacentral:lncRNA from 1 species
CGAACGCUCGUCAACUCAAACCGUCAAGUACCUAAUCAAGUACGGUCUUUGCUUAGUAAACGAAACACGAAAUAACCUUAAACGACGAUCCAACGGUCGGAUUCAAAAAUAAAGGUGAUCCAACGGUCGGAUUCGAAAAUAAAGACGAUCCAACGGUCGGAUCGAAAUUAUAUGAUGAUCCAACGGUCGGAUCCUCACGGAUCGCCCUUAGGAUCAUCCUCCAAAAUUAUCACGAAGAUCCAACGGUCGGAUCUUCCUGAAUCGUCCUUAUAAACAUCUCCACAAAAUUUCAUGAAAAUCCGACGGUCGGAUUCUCACGAAUCGCCUUCCGAAUCACUAUUUCACAAUUAUACGAAGAUCCAACGGUCGGAUCUUCGCCCGUGACCACACAAAGUCAUCGGGACAGUCAUACG